rnacentral:rRNA from 1 species
UACGGGGGGGGCAAGCGUUGUUCGGAAUUACUGGCGUAAAGGUUCGUAGGUGGCCAAACUAAGUCAGACGGUGAAAUCCCUCAGCUUAACUGGGAACUGCGUCUGAUACUGGUCGGCUUGAGUGCAGGAGAGGAACGCGGAAUUCCAGGUGUAGCGGUGAAAUGCGUAGAUAUCAGGAGGAACACCUGCGGUGUAGACGGCUUUCUGGACCUUGCUGACGCUGAGACACGAAAGCGUUGGGUAGCAAACAGG